UUGGAAAGUUAAAAAUCGUAACAAGGUUUCCGUAGGUGAACCUGCGGAAGGAUCAUUGUCGAUGCCUUACAUGCAGACCAACACGUGAAUCAGUUUGAACACAUAGGGUUGGUUUGAGGUGUUCAACACCUCGGCUUGCCUCUGGUUCGGAGGAGGACGAUGUUGUGCGUUCUCCUUUGUGCCAAAACACAAACCCCGGCGCUGAAUGCGUCAAGGAAUUUAAAAUUUGCUCUGAGCGCACCUGCAUGGCACCGGAGACGGUUUUCGUGCGGGUUGUGUUCUGACACAUAAUAUAGAAUGACUCUCGGCAACGGAUAUCUAGGCUCUUGCAUCGAUGAAGAACGUAGCGAAAUGCGAUACUUGGUGUGAAUUGCAGAAUCCCGUGAACCAUCGAGUCUUUGAACGCAAGUUGCGCCCGAUGCCAUUAGGUUGAGGGCACGUCUGCCUGGGCGUCACAUAUCGAAGCCUCUCGCCAAUUUCCUAUAUUGAUAGGGGUAUUGUGCAGGGCGAAUGUUGGCCUCCCGUGAGCUUUAUUGCCUCAUGGUUGGUUGAAAAUCGAGACCUUGGUAGGGUGUGCCAUGAUAGGUGGUGGCUGUGUUACGCACGAGACCAAGUAAGUCAUGUGCUGCUCUAUUGAAUUUAGGCCUCUUUUACCCACAUGCGUUUCGAAACGCUCGUGAUGAGACCUCAGGUCAGGCGGGGCUACCCGCUGAAUUUAAGCAUAUCAAUAGGCCGAAGGAA
rnacentral:rRNA from 1 species